UCUGGUUGAUCCUGCCAGUAGUUAUAUGCUUGUCUCAAAGAUUAAGCCAUGCAUGUCUAAGUACACACGAAUUAAAAGUGAAACCGCAAAAGGCUCAUUAUAUCAGUUAUGGUUCCUUAGAUCGUUAACAGUUACUUGGAUAACUGUGGUAAUUCUAGAGCUAAUACAUGCAAUUAAAACAUGAACCUUAUGGGACAUGUGCUUUUAUUAGGCUAAAACCAAGCGAUCGCAAGAUCGUUAUAUUGGUUGAACUCUAGAUAACAUGCAGAUCGUAUGGUCUUGUACCGACGACAGAUCUUUCAAAUGUCUGCCCUAUCAACUUUUGAUGGUAGUAUCUAGGACUACCAUGGUUGCAACGGGUAACGGGGAAUCAGGGUUCGAUUCCGGAGAGGGAGCCUGAGAAACGGCUACCACAUCUAAGGAAGGCAGCAGGCGCGUAAAUUACCCACUCCCAGCUCGGGGAGGUAGUGACGAAAAAUAACAAUACAGGACUCAUAUCCGAGGCCCUGUAAUUGGAAUGAGUACACUUUAAAUCCUUUAACAAGGACCAAUUGGAGGGCAAGUCUGGUGCCAGCAGCCGCGGUAAUUCCAGCUCCAAUAGCGUAUAUUAAAGUUGUUGCGGUUAAAACGUUCGUAGUUGAACUUGUGCUUCAUACGGGUAGUACAACUUACAAUUGUGGUUAGUACUAUACCUUUAUGUAUGUAAGCGUAUUACCGGUGGAGUUCUUAUAUGUGAUUAAAUACUUGUAUCUUUUCAUAUGUUCCUCCUAUUUAAAAACCUGCAUUAGUGCUCUUAAACGAGUGUUAUUGUGGGCCGGUACUAUUACUUUGAACAAAUUAGAGUGCUUAAAGCAGGCUUCAAAUGCCUGAAUAUUCUGUGCAUGGGAUAAUGAAAUAAGACCUCUGUUCUGCUUUCAUUGGUUUUCAGAUCAAGAGGUAAUGAUUAAUAGAAGCAGUUUGGGGGCAUUAGUAUUACGACGCGAGAGGUGAAAUUCUUGGACCGUCGUAAGACUAACUUAAGCGAAAGCAUUUGCCAAAGAUGUUUUCAUUAAUCAAGAACGAAAGUUAGAGGUUCGAAGGCGAUCAGAUACCGCCCUAGUUCUAACCAUAAACGAUGCCAGCUAGCAAUUGGGUGUAGCUACUUUUAUGGCUCUCUCAGUCGCUUCCCGGGAAACCAAAGCUUUUGGGCUCCGGGGGAAGUAUGGUUGCAAAGCUGAAACUUAAAGGAAUUGACGGAAGGGCACCACCAGGAGUGGAGCCUGCGGCUUAAUUUGACUCAACACGGGAAAACUUACCAGGUCCGAACAUAAGUGUGUAAGACAGAUUGAUAGCUCUUUCUCGAAUCUAUGGGUGGUGGUGCAUGGCCGUUCUUAGUUCGUGGAGUGAUUUGUCUGGUUAAUUCCGAUAACGAACGAGACUCAAAUAUAUUAAAUAGAUAUCUUCAGGAUUAUGGUGCUGAAGCUUAUGUAGCCUUCAUUCAUGUUGGCAGUAAAAUGCUUAUUGUGUUUGAAUGUGUUUAUGUAAGUGGAGCCGUACCUGUUGGUUUGUCCCAUUAUAAGGACACUAGCUUCUUAAAUGGACAAAUUGCGUCUAGCAAUAAUGAGAUUGAGCAAUAACAGGUCUGUGAUGCCCUUAGAUGUCCUGGGCUGCACGCGCGCUACAAUGAAAGUAUCAACGUGUAUUUCCUAGACCGAGAGGUCCGGGUAAACCGCUGAACCACUUUCAUGCUUGGGAUUGUGAACUGAAACUGUUCACAUGAACUUGGAAUUCCCAGUAAGUGUGAGUCAUUAACUCGCAUUGAUUACGUCCCUGCCCUUUGUACACACCGCCCGUCGCUACUACCGAUUGAAUUAUUUAGUGAGGUCUCCGGACGUGAUCACUGUGACGCCUUGCGUGUUACGGUUGUUUCGCAAAAGUUGACCGAACUUGAUUAUUUAGAGGAAGUAAAAGUCGUAACAAGGUUUC
rnacentral:rRNA from 1 species